GUUGAAAAAGGUCGGGAUGAGGUGUGCCUAGGGGUGAAAGGCCAAUCAAACUCGGAGAUAGCUGGUUCUCUGCGAAAUCUAUUUAGGUAGAGCGUCGGAUUUAUACCAACGGGGGUAGAGCACUGGAUGGAUGCGGGGGACGCGAGUCUUACCAAUUCUAACCAAACUCCGAAUACCGUUGAGUACUAUCCGGCAGACACACUAUGGGUGCUAAGGUCCAUAGUGGAGAGGGAAACAGCCCUGACCGACAGCUAAG
rnacentral:rRNA from 1 species